GAUGAACUCUGGCGGCGUGCUUAACACAUGCAAGUCGAGCGAAGCAGUUAAGUUGAUUUCUUCGGAUUGAUUCUUGGCUGACUGAGCGGCGGACGGGUGAGUAACGCGUGGGUGACCUGCCCCAUACCGGGGGAUAACAGCUGGAAACGGCUGCUAAUACCGCAUAAGCGCACAGAGCUGCAUGGCUCAGUGUGAAAAACUCCGGUGGUUAUGGGAUGGGCCCGCGUCUGAUUAGGCAGUUGGCGGGGUAACGGCCCACCAAACCGACGAUCAGUAGCCGGCCUGAGAGGGCGACCGGCCACAUUGGGACUGAGACACGGCCCAAACUCCUACGGGAGGCAGCAGUGGGGAAUAUUGCACAAUGGGGGAAACCCUGAUGCAGCGACGCCGCGUGAGCGAAGAAGUAUUUCGGUAUGUAAAGCUCUAUCAGCAGGGAAGAUAAUGACGGUACCUGACUAAGAAGCCCCGGCUAACUACGUGCCAGUAGCCGCGGUAAUACGUAGGGGGCAAGCGUUAUCCGGAUUUACUGGGUGUAAAGGGAGCGUAGACGGCAAGGCAAGUCUGAUGUGAAAACCCAGGGCUUAACCCUGGGACUGCAUUGGAAACUGUCUGGCUCGAGUGCCGGAGAGGUAAGCGGAAUUCCUAGUGUAGCGGUGAAAUGCGUAGAUAUUAGGAAGAACACCAGUGGCGAAGGCGGCUUACUGGACGGUAACUGACGUUGAGGCUCGAAAGCGUGGGGAGCAAACAGGAUUAGAUACCCUGGUAGUCCACGCCGUAAAC
rnacentral:rRNA from 1 species